rnacentral:rRNA from 1 species
UACGAAGGGGACUAGCGUUGUUCGGAAUCACUGGGCGUAAAGCGUGCGAAGGCGGCUUGUUAAGCCAGAGGUGAAAGCCUGGAGCUCAACUCCAGAACUGCCUUUGAUACUGGCACGCUCGAGGACGGCAGAGGUGGGUGGAACUCCGAGUGUAGAGGUGAAAUUCGUAGAUAUUGGGAAGAACACCAGUGGCGAAGGCGGCCAACUGGGCCAUUUCUGACGCUGAGGUGCGAAAGCGUGGGGAGCAAACAGG